rnacentral:lncRNA from 1 species
GAUCUCCCCUCACACCCAACAGCACCACCUUCCGAGACUAGCGGCUCAUUACCGCCCAGUCCCCGCGGCCGGCGCAAGAACUCCUCGCCGGGCCCCAUUCCAGGCUGGGUCGGGUCUUUAGAAUAAGGACCAGUUGUGUGUCUCCCUGUCGCUGGCAGCGGAUCACUUUCUGGCUGAAGAAAAGACAAAACGACGAGGGAAACAAUAGGACCUGAUGCAGGCGAGUCUGACACACAGGAA